GAUGAACGCUGGCGGCGUGCUUAACACAUGCAAGUCGAACGAAGCACCUUAUUCUGAUUUCUUCGGAAUGAAAAAUUUGGUGACUGAGUGGCGGACGGGUGAGUAACGCGUGGGUAACCUGCCUCAUACAGGGGGAUAACAGUUAGAAAUGACUGCUAAUACCGCAUAAGACCACAGCACCGCAUGGUGCAGGGGUAAAAACUCCGGUGGUAUGAGAUGGACCCGCGUCUGAUUAGGUAGUUGGUGGGGUAACGGCCUACCAAGCCGACGAUCAGUAGCCGACCUGAGAGGGUGACCGGCCACAUUGGGACUGAGACACGGCCCAAACUCCUACGGGAGGCAGCAGUGGGGAAUAUUGCACAAUGGGGGAAACCCUGGUGCAGCGACGCCGCGUGAGCGAUGAAGUAUUUCGGUAUGUAAAGCUCUAUCAGCAGGGAAGAAAAUGACGGUACCUGACUAAGAAGCACCGGCUAAAUACGUGCCAGCAGCCGCUGUAA
rnacentral:rRNA from 1 species